rnacentral:rRNA from 1 species
AACCAGACUCCUACGGGAGGCAGCAGUCGGGAAUAUUGCGCAAUGGAGGAAACUCUGACGCAGUGACGCCGCGUAUAGGAAGAAGGUUUUCGGAUUGUAAACUAUUGUCGUUAGGGAAGAUAAAAGACAGUACCUAAGGAGGAAGCUCCGGCUAACUACGUGCCAGCAGCCGCGGUAAUACGUAGGGAGCAAGCGUUAUCCGGAUUUAUUGGGUGUAAAGGGUGCGUAGACGGGAAAUUAAGUUAGUUGUGAAAUCCCGCGGCUCAACUGAGGAACUGCAACUAAAACUGAUUUUCUUGAGUGCAGGAGAGGUAAGUGGAAUUCCUAGUGUAGCGGUGAAAUGCGUAGAUAUUAGGAGGAACACCGGUGGCGAAGGCGGCUUACUGGACUGUAACUGACGUUGAGGCUCGAAAGCGUGGGGAGCAAACAGGAUUAGAUACCCGUGUA